rnacentral:rRNA from 1 species
CCUACGGGAGGCAGCAGUGGCGAAUAUUGGACAAUGGGGGCAACCCUGAUCCAGCCAUGCCGCGUGUGUGAAGAAGGCCCUCGGGUUGUAAAGCACUUUCAGUGAGGAAGAACGCCUGGUGGUUAAUACCCAUCAGGAAAGACAUCACUCACAGAAGAAGCACCGGCUAACUCCGUGCCAGCAGCCGCGGUAAUACGGAGGGUGCGAGCGUUAAUCGGAAUUACUGGGCGUAAAGCGCGCGUAGGUGGCUUGAUAAGCCGGUUGUGAAAGCCCCGGGCUCAACCUGGGAACGGCAUCCGGAACUGUCAAGCUAGAGUGCAGGAGAGGAAGGUAGAAUUCCCGGUGUAGCGGUGAAAUGCGUAGAGAUCGGGAGGAAUACCAGUGGCGAAGGCGGCCUUCUGGACUGACACUGACACUGAGGUGCGAAAGCGUGGGUAGCAAACAGGAUUAGAUACCCUAGUAGUC